UACGAAGGGGGCUAGCGUUGCUCGGAAUCACUGGGCGUAAAGGGUGCGUAGGCGGGUUUUUAAGUCAGGGGUGAAAUCCUGGAGCUCAACUCCAGAACUGCCUUUGAUACUGAAGAUCUUGAGUCCGGGAGAGGUGAGUGGAACUGCGAGUGUAGAGGUGAAAUUCGUAGAUAUUCGGAGGAACACCAGUGGCGAAGGCGGCUCACUGGCUCGGUACUGACGCUGAGGUGCGAAAGCGUGGGGAGCAAACAGG
rnacentral:rRNA from 1 species